rnacentral:rRNA from 1 species
AGAGUUUGAUCCUGGCUCAGGACGAACGCUGGCGGCGUGCCUAAUACAUGCAAGUAGAACGCUGAAGAAAGGAGCUUGCUUUUUUUGGAUGAGUUGCGAACGGGUGAGUAACGCGUAGGUAACCUGCCUUGUAGCGGGGGAUAACUAUUGGAAACGAUAGCUAAUACCGCAUAACAGCUUUUGACACAUGUUAGAAGCUUGAAAGAUGCAAUUGCAUCACUACGAGAUGGACCUGCGUUGUAUUAGCUAGUAGGUAGGGUAACGGCCUACCUAGGCGACGAUACAUAGCCGACCUGAGAGGGUGAUCGGCCACACUGGGACUGAGACACGGCCCAGACUCCUACGGGAGGCAGCAGUAGGGAAUCUUCGGCAAUGGGGGCAACCCUGACCGAGCAACGCCGCGUGAGUGAAGAAGGUUUUCGGAUCGUAAAGCUCUGUUGUAAGGGAAGAACGUGUAUGAGAGUGGAAAGUUCACACAGUGACGGUAACUUACCAGAAAGGGACGGCUAACUACGUGCCAGCAGCCGCGGUAAUACGUAGGUCCCGAGCGUUGUCCGGAUUUAUUGGGCGUAAAGCGAGCGCAGGCGGUUUAAUAAGUCUGAAGUUAAAGGCAGUGGCUUAACCAUUGUUCGCUUUGGAAACUGUUAAACUUGAGUGUAGAAGGGGAGAGUGGAAUUCCAUGUGUAGCGGUGAAAUGCGUAGAUAUAUGGAGGAACACCGGUGGCGAAAGCGGCUCUCUGGUCUGUAACUGACGCUGAGGCUCGAAAGCGUGGGGAGCAAACAGGAUUAGAUACCCUGGUAGUCCACGCCGUAAACGAUGAGUGCUAGGUGUUAGGCCCUUUCCGGGGCUUAGUGCCGCAGCUAACGCAUUAAGCACUCCGCCUGGGGAGUACGACCGCAAGGUUGAAACUCAAAGGAAUUGACGG